CCUACGGGAGGCAGCAGUGGGGAAUAUUGGGCAAUGGGCGCAAGCCUGAACCAGCAACGCCGCGUGAAGGAAGAAGGCUUUCGGGUUGUAAACUUCUUUUCACAGGGACGAAGCAAGUGACGGUACCUGAGGAAUAAGCCAAGGCUAACUACGUGCCAGCAGCCGCGGUAAUACGUCGGUUGCAAGCGUUAUCAGGAUUUACUGGGUGUAAAGGGCGUGUAGGCGGGGACGCAAGUCAGAUGUGAAAACCACGGGCUCAACCUGUGGCCUGCAUUUGAAACUGUGUUUCUUGAGUACUGGAGAGGCAGACGGAAUUCCUAGUGUAGCGGUGAAAUGCGUAGAUAUCAGGAGGAACACCAGUGGCGAAGGCGGUCUGCUGGACAGCAACUGACGCUGAGGCGCGAAAGCGUGGGGAGCAAACAGGAUUAGAUACCCGAGUAGUC
rnacentral:rRNA from 1 species